GGUAACAUGUUAGUGGCAAACGGGUGAGUAACGCGUGGGAAUGUACCCCUUAGUUUGGGAUAACGACUGGAAACGGUCGCUAAUACCGAAUGAUCCGGAGACGGGAAAGAUUUAUCGCUAAGGGAGCGGCCCGCGUUAGAUUAGGUAGUUGGUGAGGUAAAGGCUCACCAAGCCUAUGAUCUAUAGCUGGUCUGAGAGGACGACCAGCCACACUGGGACUGAGACACGGCCCAGACUUC
rnacentral:rRNA from 1 species